UCACUCAUUGUGAGCAAAGCUGGCUGCGGUUUUGUGAGAUACAUCACAGAAAGGCCCACAAAGCAAAGAAAUGAUACCUCAGGGAAGAGCCAGCAAGGACUACAAGUCAAACAGCCAUUAUGAAGAGACCAUUACAGAAAGCCACAACUAUUCCAAAUGCAGAGGACAACUGUCAAUGGGGUACCCAUCCCUAAUGGAUACAGCUACAGCACAAGUCUUGCACCCAAGUCUCAAGAAAUGUUGAAGAAGAGGGAGGCAAAAUAUUGUAAAGGCCAGCAGACCAAGAAGCAAGCUGUGAGGUCUUCAAUUAUGUCCUCAACUGUGACAGGGAAGCUAUAACACCUAUGAAGUACCAACAACAUGGCUACCUAAACAAGGAUUUAAAAUUAGUGAAUAUGAAGCACAGCCCACCUGUUCAUCUUACCUCAAGGAAGCAACACUAACGAUAAGAAACUGACACCUCCGUUCUGGUCAAAAGAACUUCUUCAGAAGUGUCCAUGUGCCCUACCUUCACCAGAGUUGAAGUCCUCUUCCCUUCUGUGUGUUGAUAACACAUAGUCAUUGCACAGUCUCAGAACUUAUCCAAUGCGGAGUAAGCAGCAAAGGACAAGCUAUGAAGAAAGGAUAACAACUGAAAUUAAGAAAAUGCUAUCAAUAUCAAUAUCUACAGAGCUGAGAGACUGAGCAAACAAAUGAGACUGCUAAAUGACCUUUGUUACCCAUAAAAUUACUUAUUUUAGUACAUGAAGUAAGAUGUUGACAAAUUCCACGUGACUGUCAGAAAGGCACAAGAACUGAGAACAUUUGGAUGGAGAGUAAUUUCCUCCUAGAGAAUGUAAACUUGACAUAAUUCUCACAAUCCUGAAAAUUUUAUAGAAGUAAAUUUUAUUUUUUUAAUUUUAAAAUCAUAAUUGCAUCACUUUACACUUUCCCUUGUCUUCCUCCAA